AUAAAGGUAAACUAAUAAAGUUGUUUGGUUCAUACCCGAAAUAUGAGAUUAAUUUUUCUCUUUAUA